rnacentral:rRNA from 1 species
UACCAUGCAAGUCGAACGAUGAAGUGGAGCUUGCUCCACGGAUUAGUGGCGAACGGGCUGAGUAACACGUGAAUAACCUGCCCUCAAUUUCGGAAUAACCCAGGGAAACCUGGGCUAAUACCGGAUACGUAAACCUGUGGCAUCACAUGGUUCUGGAAAGUUUUUCGAUUGAGGAUGGAUUCGCGGCCUAUCAGCUUGUUGGUGAGGUAAUGGCUCACCAAGGCGACGACGGGUAGCCGGCCUGAGAGGGUGAACGGCCACACUGGGACUGAGACACGGUCCAGACUCCUACGGGAGGCAGCAGUGGGGAAUAUUGCGCAAUGGACGAAAGUCUGACGCAGCGACGCCUCGUGAGGGACGAAGGUCUUCGGAUUGUAAACCUCUUUCAGCAUGGACGAAGCGAAAGUGACGGUACCUGCAGAAGAAGCACCGGCUAACUAUGUGCCAUCCAGCC